CUAUACAAAGCCUUUCUCACCCUUUUACAAUACUCAAUGAUUUGUAUAGUAAAUCCUUGCAAUACUGAAGUAUGCUGUUUGGUAUUUACAUAGGAAAAGCAUUAUAUCACCUAGAAUUUAAAUCAAUAAAUACGAAUUGAUGUGUAAAAAGAGGCGAACAGUUAGUAGCCUACAUGGAUAUAUACGAUUAGCACAUUGCCC
rnacentral:lncRNA from 1 species